ACACAGAUGCACAUGAAAUUUGGUGCCGUGACUCGGAUUGGGGGACCUCCCUUGGGAGAUCAAUCCCCUGUACUCCUGUUCUUUGCUCCGUGAGAAAGAUCCACCUAUGACCCUCAGGUCCUCAGACCGACUAGCCCAAGGAACAUCUCACCAAUUUUAAAUCAGGUGGAGUCUCGCACUGUCAUCCUGGCUGGAAUGCAGUGGUGCAAGCCGACUCACUGCAACCUCUGCCUCUUGGGUUCAAGUGAUUCUCCUGCUUCAGCCUCCUGAUUUGCUGGGAUUGCAGAGCAAACCAGUGAAAAAAUGGCCUUCGCACUCCUGAGAGACCUUUCACCGGGCUUUCUACUUUUGAAUUCUCUCCAUAGCUGGUUUCCUCUUAGGCCUCGAUAGAGCAGUCCCUGAAUCACACAGGUAUGCUGACUACGUCUUUUCCUGGUACAAACCAUCAUGGGGGAAACACACAGCAAGAAGCAUCUUCAGGUCACAAGAUAGGUAAUACCAUCUACCUGAAUUUUUUCAAAAGCAGCAGAAUAUUUAGUUUUCUAUUUCAGUGGCUUCUAACAGAGAUCAUUGUUUGCACAAGAUUAAAUGUCUGCAGUGGUCGUGGCCUUCUAAGACUGAAUUACAUCACCAGCUUUCCUGGGUCUCCAGCUUGCAGAUGGCACACUGUGGGACUUCUUAGCCUGCAGAAUCAGUGAAGCACCCAUUGAUUGCCCCUUACUCUAGGGAUUUACAGCUUUGUGCUUGUCGUGGCCACUGCUCCCAAAGUGACUAUAAUCCGGAGGAUCCCCACGACCCUUCAGAGCAGGCAAGACACCAGCACCAGAAACUCUGAAAACCUAAAAGUCAAGAACAAUGCUUUUGCAUUUUCCUGUCCCUUCUAAAAUUUCAUUUUUAAGUGGUGAGAUCUCUUUAAGAAGAGGUUUCAAAAAUAAUGUAAAAAGUAUUGCUUGCAAGAUUUGAAAAUAAGCCAAUUCAACAAAUCCAAAAUAAAAAGC
rnacentral:lncRNA from 1 species